CCUACGGGAUGCACCAGUGGGGAAUUUUCCGCAAUGGGCGCAAGCCUGAUCCAGCAAUGCCGCGUGUGUGAAGAAGGCCUUCGGGUUGUAAAGCACUUUUAUCAGGAACGAAAUACCACGGGUUAAUACCCUAUGGGGCUGACGGUACCUGAGGAAUAAGCACCGGCUAACUUCGUGCCAGCAGCCGCGGUAAUACGAAGGGUGCAAGCGUUAAUCGGAAUUACUGGGCGUAAAGCGUGCGUAGGCGGUUUGUUAAGUCUGCUGUGAAAGCCCUGGGCUCAACCUGGGAAUGGCAGUGGAAACUGGCGAGCUAGAGUGUGGUAGAGGAUGGUGGAAUUCCCGGUGUAGCGGUGAAAUGCGUAGAGAUCGGGAGGAGCAUCAGUGGCGAAGGCGGCCAUCUGGAUCGACACUGACGCUGAGGCACGAAAGCGUGGGGAGCAGACAGGAUUAGAUACCCGGGUAGUC
rnacentral:rRNA from 1 species